UACGUAGGUGGCAAGCGUUAUCCGGAAUUAUUGGGCGUAAAGCGCGCGCAGGCGGUUUCUUAAGUCUGAUGUGAAAGCCCACGGCUCAACCGUGGAGGGUCAUUGGAAACUGGGGAACUUGAGUGCAGAAGAGAAAAGCGGAAUUCCACGUGUAGCGGUGAAAUGCGUAGAGAUGUGGAGGAACACCAGUGGCGAAGGCGGCUUUUUGGUCUGUAACUGACGCUGAGGCG
rnacentral:rRNA from 1 species